UUCAAAUUAUGACACACAGGAGCUAGAAGACCCACCUGCUUCUUUCAGAUCAGCUGUGUUGGAAAAUUUCAGGUUCCCUGUGGACUACGUCAGCAAUGGAGAGCGAGUGGUGGAUCGGACGAGGACAGUGUGUGACAGCUGUAAGAUCCUUUCUCCUCUGUUGUGGCUGGAGUCAGCCAUACAGGGAAAAUUAAAGGAGUCAGCGCGGCACAGAGCAAAUGGCUCCACUGGGGCUGGAAGAAAGUGGAGCCGCGAGGCGCGAAGAGCCCCCGCCAGAUUGAUUCACAAAAGGAAAGGGCUGCUUCACGCUUGUCACAGGGACUCGGGGGGCUACCCCCCCCAGGGUUGGAGGGUGGGACUCAACACCCACCCAGAGGACGGGCACCCAGCAGGAGAAAAGCGCUCACCCCCUUGUCCAGCUGACUCCCUCUUUCCCCCCAUCUCACACACACGAACACACCACAGGGACUAGGAUUAACCCAAGAGAGGACCACAAUAGGCGCACAUGUCCCCCCUCAGCCAGCCUGGGCCCAUUCAGGUCCUCUGUUACUCACCAUCCUAACAUGGAUUAGGCUUAAUGAACUGGAAGGAGUUAACAAUAAAUGAAUCAGGGCCUAUAAGCAGCCUCCUAAUUCCAUUUUGUGUUCUGCCGCUUUUCUUUCUUUCUGUUUGAACACAAGGUGUAAUCCACUUGACUAUCAAAGGUGCAGGGAGAGUAUGAAUUGAAACUAGCCCUGUCACAUGCACAUGCACACACACCGCCUGCCGCUGAUGCAGCUUACUGAUGCCAUCUGCUCCCAUCAAUACUGACUCUGGAAAGCUCACACACUUUGAAGAAAAAAUAACAAUUCAAAUGUUUUUUUUAUUGUGUAUUUCUUCUCUAAUUAAACAAUUUCAUAACCAAUUCAAAGAAGCUACUGAAGAAUGGAAUAGCUAAUUAAAUGCAUUAUUAUUGAAUGCAACGUACUGUACAGUUAGUGUUGAUGUAGCCUGCAGGGGGAAUGUAAUAUGUUUGUUGUUUCUAUUUGCAACAGCACAUUUGGACACAUUUUUUUAAUUUCCUCUGUAAUUAUGCCAUUCCCCAGCUUUGUCAAGAUAUGUUCUGACAUCUCAAUAUAAAAUCAACUUGUUAUUUUGAUGAUUUACAACUCAAUUAGGCCGGUCACGAGAUGUAGAAAAAAAUAUAAAAAAA